GAAGGUACAGCUCAGUGGUAGACUGCAUGCUUAGCAUGCACAAGGUCUUGGGUUCAAGCCCCAGUACCUCCA
rnacentral:tRNA from 1 species